rnacentral:rRNA from 1 species
GACGAACCGUGCAAACGUUAUUCGGAUUCAUUGGGCUUAAAGGGCGCGUAGGCGGACAGGCAGGUCAGGGGUGAAAUCCCACGGCUCAACCGUGGAAGUGCCUUUGAUACUGCCGGUCUCGAGGGAGGUAGGGGCGUGCGGAACUUCCGGUGGAGCGGUGAAAUGCGUAGAUAUCGGAAGGAACACCGGUGGCGAAAGCGGCGCGCUGGACCUCUUCUGACGCUGAGGCGCGAAAGCCAGGGGAGCAAACGGG